rnacentral:rRNA from 1 species
ACAUGCCUACAACACAACGUUAAUGCACUACAUCCCAUUAGAACUCUGCAGUUAAGCACGCUCAGGCUAUAGUAGUACUGGGGUGGGUGACCGCCCGAGAAGUACUAGUGUUUUACAUGCC